GACGAACGCUGGCGGCGUGCUUAACACAUGCAAGUCGAACGGAAAGGCCCUGCUUUUGUGGGGUGCUCGAGUGGCGAACGGGUGAGUAACACGUGAGUAACCUGCCCUUGACUUUGGGAUAACUUCAGGAAACUGGGGCUAAUACCGGAUAGGAGCUCCUGCUGCCUGUUGGGGGUUGGAAAGUUUCGGCGGUUGGGGAUGGACUCGCGGCUUCUUGGCUUGUUGGGGGGGUAGUGGCUUAGCAGGGCUUUGACGGGUAGCCGGCCUGGGGGGGUGACCGGCCACAUUGGGACUGAGAUACGGCCCAGACUCCGACGGGGGUGAGCAGUGGGGAAUUUUGCACAAUGGGCGGAAGCCUGAUGCAGCAACGCCGCGUGCGGGAUGACGGCCUUCGGGUUGUAAACCGCUUUCGCCUGUUACGAAGCGUGAGUGACGGUAAUGGGUAAAGAAGCACCGGCUAACUACGGG
rnacentral:rRNA from 1 species